UAGAGAUAAAUAAAAUAACUUUUAAAUAUAUUUUUUGCUGUGAUUUCUAUAAUUUUUAAUUUUGAAGUGAUGCCAAGUAGGCCCUUACUGGGUAGACUUCUCUUAGUGAUAGUGCUAGCUAUCUAGCUGAAGAACUAUGAACAAAUAUGAUAUCAAAGAUUAACCUCAUAUUUGGUAGGAAGGAUAGAUUGGAGGAUGAUAGAGGA
rnacentral:lncRNA from 1 species